GAAAUGCGAUAAGUAAUGUGAAUUGCAGAAUCAGUGAAUCAUCGAAUUUUUGAACGCAUAUUGCACUCCUUGGUAUUCCUUGGAGUACACUUGUUCGAGCGCCGGUUGUGUCGUAAGGCUCUGCCUUGUGUUGGGACUGCCUGCAAAGGCAUUCUCCAAACCUAUGGGCGUCUGUCGUGCCUGAACCGCAACACACUGCGCGUAGGGACGUCGGCAGUCGCCGAAAACCGUCUAGCAUGGCCUCGGAUCAAGUGGGGAUACCCGCUAAACUUAA
rnacentral:misc_RNA from 1 species